rnacentral:rRNA from 1 species
AACGAACGCUGGCGGCAGGCUUAACACAUGCAAGUCGAACGCCCCGCAAGGGGAGUGGCAGACGGGUGAGUAACGCGUGGGAAUCUACCCAGAUCUUCGGAACAACUGAGGGAAACUUCAGCUAAUACCGGAUACGCCCUACGGGGGAAAGAUUUAUCGGUUCUGGAUGAGCCCGCGUUGGAUUAGCUAGUUGGUGGGGUAAUGGCCUACCAAGGCGACGAUCCAUAGCUGGUCUGAGAGGAUGAUCAGCCACACUGGGACUGAGACACGGCCCAGACUCCUACGGGAGGCAGCAGUGGGGAAUGUUGGACAAUGGGCGAAAGCCUGAUCCAGCCAUGCCGCGUGAGUGAUGAAGGCCUUAGGGUUGUAAGGCUCUUUCAGUGGGGAAGAUAAUGACGGUACCCACAGAAGAAGCCCCGGCUAACUUCGUGCCAGCAGCCGCAGUAAGAC